rnacentral:rRNA from 1 species
AGCAGCAGCCACGGUAAUACGUAGGGUGCAAGCGUUAAUCGGAAUUACUGGGCGUAAAGCGUGCGCAGGCGGUUUGUUAAGACAGAUGUGAAUUCCCCGGGCUCAACCUGGGAACUGCAUUUGUGACUGGCAAGCUAGAGUGUGGCAGAGGGGGGUGGAAUUCCGCGUGUAGCAGUGAAAUGCGUAGAUAUGCGGAGGAACACCGAUGGCGAAGGCAGCCCCCUGGGCCAACACUGACGCUCAUGCACGAAAGCGUGGGGAGCAAACAGGAUUAGAUACCCCAGUAGUCCCUGUCUCUUAUAC